AGAAGGCCUUCGGGUUGUAAAGCACUUUCAGUCAGGAGGAAAGGUUAGUAGUUAAUACCUGCUAGCUGUGACGUUACUGACAGAAGAAGCACCGGCUAACUCCGUGCCAGCAGCCGCGGUAAUACGGAGGGUGCGAGCGUUAAUCGGAAUUACUGGGCGUAAAGCGUACGCAGGCGGUUUGUUAAGCGAGAUGUGAAAGCCCCGGGCUCAACCUGGGAACUGCAUUUCGAACUGGCAAACUAGAGUGUGAUAGAGGGUGGUAGAAUUUCAGGUGUAGCGGUGAAAUGCGUAGAGAUCUGAAGGAAUACCGAUGGCGAAGGCAGCCACCUGGGUCAACACUGACGCUCAUGUACGAAAGCGUGGGGAGCAAACAGGAUUAGAUACCCUGGUAGUCCACGCCGUAAACGAUGUCUACUAGAAGCUCGGAACUUCGGUUCUGUUUUUCAAAGCUAACGCAUUAAGUAGACCGCCUGGGGAGUACGGCCGCAAGGUUAAAACUCAAAUGAAUUGACGGGGGCCCGCACAAGCGGUGGAGCAUGUGGUUUAAUUCGAUGCAACGCGAAGAACCUUACCUACACUUGACAUACAGAGAACUUACCAGAGAUGGUUUGGUGCCUUCGGGAACUCUGAUACAGGUGCUGCA
rnacentral:rRNA from 1 species